UCGGGUGUGACUGCGUACCUUUUGUAUAAUGGGUCAGCGACUUAUAUUCUGUAGCAAGGUUAACCGUAUAGGGGAGCCGGAGGGAAACCGAGUCUUAAUUGGGCGUUAAGUUGCAGGGUAUAGACCCGAAACCCGGUGAUCUAGCCAUGGGCAGGUUGAAGGUUGGGUAACACUAACUGGAGGACCGAACCGACUAAUGUUGAAAAAUUAGCGGAUGACCUGUGGCUGGGGGUGAAAGGCCAAUCAAACCGGGAGAUAGCUGGUUCUCCCCGAAAGCUAUUUAGGUAGCGCCUCGUGAAUUCAUCUCCGGGGGUAGAGCACUGUUUCGGCUAGGGGGCCAUCCCGGCUUACCAACCCGAUGCAAACUGCGAAUACCGGAGAAUGUUAUCACGGGAGACACACGGCGGGUGCUAACGUCCGUCGUGAAGAGGGAAACAACCCAGACCGCCAGCUAAGGUCCCAAAGUCAUGGUUAAGUGGGAAACGAUGUGGGAAGGCCCAGACAGCCAGGAUGUUGGCUUAGAAGCAGCCAUCAUUUAAAGAAAGCGUAAUAGCUCACUGGUCGAGUCGGCCUGCGCGGAAGAUGUAACGGGGCUAAACCAUGCACCGAAGCUGCGGCAGCGACGCUUAUGCGUUGUUGGGUAGGGGAGCGUUCUGUAAGCCUGCGAAGGUGGCCUGUGAGGGUUGCUGGAGGUAUCAGAAGUGCGAAUGCUGACAUAAGUAACGAUAAAGCGGGUGAAAAGCCCGCUCGCCGGAAGACCAAGGGUUCCUGUCCAACGUUAAUCGGGGCAGGGUGAGUCGACCCCUAAGGCGAGGCCGAAAGGCGUAGUCGAUGGGAAACGGGUUAAUAUUCCCGUACUUGGUGUUACUGCGAAGGGGGGACGGAGAAGGCUAUGUUGGCCGGGCGACGGUUGUCCCGGUUUAAGCGUGUAGGUGUGUGUUCCAGGUAAAUCCGGUUCACUUUAACACUGAGGCGUGACGACGAGGCACUACGGUGCUGAAGCAACAAAUGCCCUGCUUCCAGGAAAAGCCUCUAAGCAUCAGGUAACAUCAAAUCGUACCCCAAACCGACACAGGUGGUCAGGUAGAGAAUACCAAGGCGCUUGAGAGAACUCGGGUGAAGGAACUAGGCAAAAUGGUGCCGUAACUUCGGGAGAAGGCACGCUGACACGUAGGUGAAGUGAUUUACUCAUGGAGCUGAAGUCAGUCGAAGAUACCAGCUGGCUGCAACUGUUUAUUAAAAACACAGCACUGUGCAAACACGAAAGUGGACGUAUACGGUGUGACGCCUGCCCGGUGCCGGAAGGUUAAUUGAUGGGGUCAGCGCAAGCGAAGCUCCUGAUCGAAGCCCCGGUAAACGGCGGCCGUAACUAUAACGGUCCUAAGGUAGCGAAAUUCCUUGUCGGGUAAGUUCCGACCUGCACGAAUGGCGUAAUGAUGGCCAGGCUGUCUCCACCCGAGACUCAGUGAAAUUGAACUCGCUGUGAAGAUGCAGUGUACCCGCGGCAAGACGGAAAGACCCCGUGAACCUUUACUAUAGCUUGACACUGAACAUUGAGCCUUGAUGUGUAG
rnacentral:rRNA from 1 species